UGUCUCCAAAGUUUCCCAGUCGCUGUCCUUUGUCUCUCUUCUUCAGAGGCUUGAGGAUGGUUUGCCUUGUGCAUUACCCUGCAUAGGGCUGUAAACUUGGAAGGCUUCUGAGCAAGCAGCAGCAGCAGCAGCAGCCAUGGAGCCUGCUAGUGCUAGCUUGGUCUCCCUGAGGGCAUCCGCCGCCACGAGCCACAGCUGCUUCUCGUGUCGGCAGCGAGCGACGCCCAAGACCAGGAUGCUUCCGGCCAUGGCGUCCAAGUCCGGGGCGAAACUGGUGGCUUCAGGCUGCAAGACAUGCAGGGGGAAGGGUGCAGUGGAAUGCGAAGGCUGCAAGGGGACUGGCAGGAACAAGAAGAACGGCAACAUCUUCGAGAGAUGGAAGUGCUUCGACUGCCAGGGGUUUGGGAUGAGGAAGUGCCCCACCUGCGGCAAGGGAGGCCUCACGCCGGAGCAGAGAGGAGAAAGAUAGAAGAAGCAUAAGCAUCCAUCCAUCCAUGGCAGCUGCAGGCAGAUGCACUCUCCAAUGUCAUAUUUAUCAUGCUCAACUUUGCUCGAAUUCUGACUACUAUCUAGAAGUAAGUAUCAACCAGAAUCGCCAAAUAAAAUGUCGAAAACCGAAUAUGGUGGUACACAUAAUCGGUUUGAGAACCGGCAGUAUAAUGCCAAGCAGAAUGUUGUGAGGAAAUCAAACUGGUUUCUGCGCGUAUUGACUUGCUUGGAUGCUUUUGAAUCUGUAUGCUGGCGAUGGGUGGCACUCUGUGAGGCUGCAUGUGGCCCCUUUGCGCACUUAGCUACAGAGCACCAAUGUGCCGCCUCAGGUUUGGCUGCCUGGUGGGCUUUCCAUAACAUGUUCAGUUUCAAUAUAAAAUUUUGCCCAUUAAGUUCAUCUGAGACAUAUGAUGGAUAAAUCCAUCAAGUGGUAACAAGUUUAUGUAUCCACACUAAAUUAAAGGGAGGUGAUAUUCUUGGUUUCGUCCCGUUUCGUUUGGUCCAAUUCAAUUAAUUUCACGUAGGCUAUUUGGUUUCGUUACUUGCCACCCGUUUUGGCCCAACAGAGGAAGCCCACCUGACGGCGCACUGUGGCCCACGUACGGAGAGAUAGCAAAAAUUAAAUUUGCCGAUGGCAGGGUUAGAUCUCAUAACCCACCAACCGGCCAUGCACGGUUUGUCCAACUGACCCAGCUAGAGAUAUAAGUGGUUUUUUUUCUCCCCCGUUGCAACGCACGGGCCUUUUUGCUAGUCCACACUAAAUUAUUGAUAUGUCUAGUUCAGCCAAUGGAAUCGCAAAAUAUUAGUCAUACAGAAAUAUGUAUUUGCAAAAGAUGGUCGCUCAAGUUUCUUGCCCCGGAUGCGAAAACGAAACAUAUAUAUAUUUGGAUCCCUGAUCAACAAAAAUAAGAAUAUCAGUCCCAUCUAACAUAUAAAGCCUGGUAGAGUACGCGCCAUUCCAGGGGCAUUCACGACGCGCGUGCGUUGUGGCCGCAUGAUUUCACAGCAACAGGGAUUUUUACGCUGCUGUCAAAGUCGUGGCCGUUAGUCCUCUGUGACUCAUUUGUUUUGCUUCCUUGUCCAUGACGGGUGGGCCUCAAAUGCCUACGGGCCCAGUGUAUUGGUGCGCCCCGUGUGCGUCCUGGGUGAGAAAGCGAGAGGCGUGGGGCUGGAUCGUAGGGCGCGGUGAAAACCUAGCCCCCAAUCUCAUUCGUCUCCAAACAGCCAAUCCCUCCACUUCUCGAGCCAAGCUCCCCUCCUCCACUGGUCUCCACUGCGCCACCUCCCCCCCCGCUUUCCCUUUUCUCCUCAUGUGCUCUCGCCCGGGCCAAGCCGAGCGACCUCCUGGCCAGCAUCUACUCCAUCUUGUUCUUCUCCGGCUAAACAGCGGCGAGCCCGCGGAUCUGGCGUCUCGGGAGUGGAAGGGGAUCUGGCGUCCUGGGAGUGGAAGAAACGAGGAGCAUCCACCUGAUGGGGGAGGAGGUGGCGCCCAGGGAGAGGGGUGGCGGCGGCCCCUCUGCCUACCACCGAGCUCUGGGAGAAACAUGGAGGCGGCAGGGAGCAUGGGAGCGAUAGCGGUGACUGGAUGCCAGGAGCUUGACGAGGUCCAUGCUGGCAGCACCCUCGCCCUCAACCUUACUGGCGGUGUGGCUGUACAAACGACGCCGGUCGACGGUGGGGCUGGAGAAUCAGGAAAGUCCAUGAUAUCUAUGCAGAUAAAUCUUCUUUUCUGGACCGGCUUUGACGUGGCGGAACACAAGGGCUAUAUGACAGUCAACCAUGUCAUCGUGUACCAGACAAUCAAAUUAAUGUAUGAUGGGGCUAAAGAGCUUGCCCAAGGGGAAUCCGACUACUCAAAAUAUGCUAUUUUACCUGAUAAUCAGAAAUAAGCUAAGAGAGGCGGAACCCGACCCGGAUGACAGCCAAAAUCAGGCCCCACUCCUGUCUCUCUGGCGCCUACUCUUCAGAUGGACAACAACACUUUGCCAGCAACGGCUGCUGUCCAGUUAAGAGCAAGUAUGUUUUGUUGCUGAAGCAUUAUUUGGAUUAUAGUUACUUCUUUGUUUCUGUGAAUAACUACACAUGUGUUCUUCUACUUUUCAUACUGUCAAAUUCUUAUCUUUGUACAUGGAUCCAUUAAGAACAUUAAAUAGACCACCCAGUUCAUGUAGAAUAUUGUCCAAUGCCUUCAAUUAUGCCAUGAUGUAUUCAUACAAGGUGAUGUUAUAACCAUAUCUAGAGAAGAUCACAGACAAGUUUCUUCAGCACUAUUGUGUUCACUAUGCUCUCCACUAGCAUGUCAGCAUUAUACAGUGUUCUUGUGAUAACUGAGAAAUAUAUUGUGGCUGAUGCCAUGGCAAGGCUACUACAAUCCUGACUUUGUCAAGUAUAAAGUAUUAUUGAGAUUAUGAAGUUUGUUUAUUUACAGUGUGCUGCUCUCCUAUCUUCAGGAGAUUGGAGAAAAACUAUCAAAAAUAAGUGUCGGGUUUGAUUACCCACCCCUUAACAAAGAAGUCAUACAGGGUGUAUGAAAUCUAUGGGAAGAUCCAUCCAUCUAGGUGAAAAGAAGUUCAUAUUUCUGUAAAUGUGUAUACUGUCAAGCAACCAGUUUUAUUAUAAAGAAAUGCAUCUGUAAGAAACUUACUUGUGUGGAAGUGUGUUGCAAGUUCAUCCCCAUCCCCCGUCGGACCCAAUGUUGUAAGUUAGAAUAGUGGGUCUGCGGUUCUUGUUGCUGUUCUGCCGGCCCGCCGCCUCGUGUGCUGCCUUUCUUCCUGCCAAGGAUUCUGGAAACGACCAAGGACAAGCAACUCAAGCGAAAGAUUGCUUCACUUAAUCUGGCGAUGUUAUUCUUCUGAAACAUGCUAAAGAAAGAUGAGAGGGAUCGGCAAAAAAGUUUGAGCCUCCUCUUAGAAGGUUCAAAACGGGACGCAGGCAAGAUAGCUCUAGGAAAGUUGGUGCGGACGGCUCCGAAGUGGAGCCUAGAAGUGGCGAAUUUUCUUAACACCGCUACAUUAAUCACCUUGAAAUUGGCAAUAGUGACAACCUAGAGGAAGAUGAUACCACCGAAAGUGAUGUGCCGGUGGAUGAUAUGGACGAAUACAACUAGAAUAUUGCCAAGGCUAUUAUUGCAUCAAGGGCAAGACUUAUUACCGAUGCUCAGCGCAAAGUCGAAUAUAUGCUCAAGGAAAUAUGGGUGCCCCCUCCAACGCUACCCAUAUCCAUUUGUCAAUGAUGACUCUGCUUGACGUCGCUGCAUACCAGCAGAAGAUAAAGCUCAACCAUAGAUUGGAAGACCGGGGCUAUAUAGAUUGAUGUCUAAAACCAAUGCAGGUCACCCUGCUGAAGAAGGAGAGGAAGUUAGAAAUCAAUUUCAGUUUUACAGGUGCAAAAUCAACUCAUUCCACUGUAAUACUGGACAUCCAGAUGUCCAUGAUGGUUAUUGUACAUGGAGAAUCAGGAUGGAUUAGAAUGGAUUAUUUAUUACCUUGGUGACAACGUCGGGUGGGCGUUGAAUCGUGGACAUGUCCCCUAUGGAUCCAGGCGGCUGGGUGAACAGAUGGACCGAGCUCCCUCCUCCGCCCAAGAAGCAACCGGGGAAAGCAGCGCCGACGGCCGGAACCUCCUCCGCCCAAGAAGCAGCCGGGAAAAGCAGCACCGACGGUCGGAACCUCCUCUGCCCAAGAAGCAGCCGGGGAAAGCAGCACCGAUGGCCGGAACCUCCUCGCCCAAGACGGCCAGAACAACACUACGGCGGAUCCAAAUCGCCAGUCUCCUCUGUCCAAAGCUGGACUGAGUGGAUGCCCCCAUGAGAGGACACGCGCACAGCCAAACCCACACACACCAGACACACGUGGCAUGGUGGCUUAUCCGGUGGGAGACUACCACUUGCUCACGCUGAACCAUUGUGGCCCACAGCCCCCCGUGAACGUUGUGUCCCACUGCCACUUGCACCGGUAUACGUUGUGGCCCACCGGGAAAAUGCAUAUAUGAGCGCUCGUAGGUGCCAGCCAUCUAUUCCAAGGGGAGAAAAAAAAUCUACUCCCAAGGAGUUUUUCUUUUCUUUUUAAAGGAUCUAUUAUUCUCAGGUACUCCCUCCGUCUCAUAAUAUAAAAUACUUUUUGACACUACAUCAGUGUUAAAAAACGUCUGUAAAAAACGUCUUACAUUAUGAGACUAAGGGAAUAUGUUUUAUUCACAUAAACUAGCACUCAAUUAUUAUUUUAAAAAAUUAUCCAUAUCUAUUAUCAAUGUUCAUUGAAAAUACAAAUCAUAUCAAACAUAAUAAAAAUUACAUUGCGAUUCCAAGACCAUCACAUAGCCACUACUGUUGCUGACGCGCCGCUAUCGCCGCUCCCCUACGGGAUCCGACUUGACCUGGUUAAUGAUAGCCGAGAAAUCUUCAUACAUGUGCCCCUUGUUCAAUACCUGGAGCCGUAGUCAUCAUCGUUGAACCCUUGCCUAUAUCUGAAGCAUCUGACACCAAAUCCCACCACAUGACGAGAAACCCUAACCUCAUCACCCC
rnacentral:rRNA from 1 species